UACGUAGGGUGCGAGCGUUGUCCGGAAUUAUUGGGCGUAAAGAGCUUGUAGGCGGUUUGUCGCGUCUGCCGUGAAAAUUCGAGGCUCAACCUCGAACUUGCGGUGGGUACGGGCAGACUAGAGUGUGGUAGGGGAGACUGGAAGUUCCUGGUGUAGCGGUGAAAUGCGCAGGAUAUCAGGAGGAACACCCGUGGCGAAAGCG
rnacentral:rRNA from 1 species